rnacentral:lncRNA from 1 species
GUAAUGAGCUCUCUGAAAAGUCUAAAGUUGAAUUUGCUUUAGAUUAUCAGAAAGACGCUGAAGAGACAUCAACACAGGCCUGGAGGGGAGCAAAUACAUACAUUGCUUAUAGAAACACCAAAAAUUCUUACGUGGUUUUUGGAAUAGACUUGACUCCAGGGAUAGUUUUGAGGGAAGAUCACAUGCAUUUGCCUUGGGCUUGACAAGCUGUCAAGGAUUCUUGCCAAGGCUGCCAAGCUCAGCAAGUUCCAGGGAUGGUAUGACACUGAACACUAAA